AUGCAGAAGGAGUCGACGCUGCACCUCGUGCUCCGCCUCCGCGGCGGCCUCUCCAUCAAUGUCAAGACGCUCACCGGCAAGGAGAUCGACAUCGACAUCGAGCACACCGACACGGUCGACCGCAUCAAGGAACGCGUCAAGGAGAAGGAGGGCAUCCCGCCCAUCCAGCAGAGGCUCAUCUUCGCAGGCAAGCAGCUCGCCGACGACAAGGCAGCAAAGGACUACAAUAUCAAGGCCGGCGACGUGCUCCACCUCGUCCUCGCCCUCAGGGGCGGUGCCUGCUACUAG
rnacentral:rRNA from 1 species